rnacentral:lncRNA from 1 species
GCUAAGAUAUAUGGUAAAUUACUUUUUUUUUUUUUCUAUAGAGGAAAAUGAAAAAAAAAAAAAACCCACAAAACAAAACAAGAAAGAAACAGAAUCAGGAGCCACAUCCAUUUACAGUGAGAGAAAUGAUUUAAAAAAAUUUUUAAUGUAAUCUCUAUACCCAGUGUGGGGCUUGAACUUAUCAAGUUCAAGAGUCACCUGUUCUACCUACGGAGCCAG